UGGGGAAUAUUGGACAAUGGGCGCAAGCCUGAUCCAGCCAUGCCGCGUGAGUGAUGAAGGCCUUAGGGUUGUAAAGCUCUUUUGUCCGGGACGAUAAUGACGGUACCGGAAGAAUAAGCCCCGGCUAACUUCGUGCCAGCAGCCGCGGUAAUACGAAGGGGGCUAGCGUUGCUCGGAAUCACUGGGCGUAAAGGGCGCGUAGGCGGCCUAGUAAGUUGGGGGUGAAAGCCCGUGGCUCAACCACGGAAUUGCCUUCGAUACUGCUAGGCUUGAGUGUGGUAGAGGUUGGUGGAACUGCGAGUGUAGAGGUGAAAUUCGUAGAUAUUCGCAAGAACACCGGUGGCGAAGGCGGCCAACUGGACCAUUACUGACGCUGAGGCGCGAAAGCGUGGGGAGCAAACA
rnacentral:rRNA from 1 species